rnacentral:rRNA from 1 species
GAUGAACGCUGGCGGCGUGCCUAAUACAUGCAAGUCGAACGCUGGAAAUCUAGCUUGCUAGAUUGAAGGAGUGGCGAACGGGUGAGUAAUACAUAAGCAACCUACCCACGAAGACUGGGAUAAUCUCUGGAAACGGGGACUAAUACCGGAUAGGUAAUCGGAAGGCAUCUUCUGAUUAUUAAAGGUUAAAAACACUGGUGGAUGGGCUUAUGGCGCAUUAGUUAGUUGGUGAGGUAACGGCCCACCAAGACGAUGAUGCGUAGCCGGCCUGAGAGGGUGAACGGCCACAUUGGGACUGGGACACGGCCCAGGGUCCUGCGGGAGGCAGCAGUAGGGUAUUGUAGGCAGUGGGGGAGACCCUGAGCGAGCGACGCAGCGUGAGUGAUGGCGGCCUUCGGGUUGUAAAGCUCUGUUGUAAGGGAAGAACGGUAGAUAGAGAAUAUCUAAAUGACGGUACCGUACCAGAAAGCCACGGCUAACUACGUG